rnacentral:rRNA from 1 species
GCCUGAUGCAGCGACGCCGCGUGAGGGACGACGGCCUUCGGGUUGUAAACCUCUUUCAGCACAGACGAAGCGCAAGUGACGGUAUGUGCAGAAUAAGGACCGGCCAACUACGUGCCAGCAGCCGCGGUAAUACGUAGGGUCCGAGCGUUGUCCGGAAUUACUGGGCGUAAAGAGCUCGUACGUGGUUUGUCGCGUUGUUCGUGAAAACUCACAGCUCAACUGUGGGCGUGCGGGCGAUACGGGCAGACUGGAGUACUGCAGGGGAGACUGGAAUUCCUGGUGUAGCGAUGGAAUGCCCAGAUUUCAAGAGGAACACCGGUGGCGAAGGCGGGUCUCUGGGCAGUAACUGACGCUGAGGAGCGAAAGCGUGGGGAGCGAACAGGAUUAGAUACCCUGGUAGUCCACGCCGUAAACGGUGGGUACUAGGUGUGGGUUUCCUUCCUUGGGAUCCGUGCCGUAUCUUACGCAUUAAGUACCCCGCCUGGGGAGUACGGCCGCAAGGCUAAAACUCAAAGAAAUUGACGGGGGCCCGCACAAGCGGCGGACCAUGUGGAUUAAUUCAAUGCAACGCGAAGAACCUUACCUGGGUUUGACAUGCACAGGACGACGGCUGAGAUGUCGUUUCCC